UACGGGGGGAGCAAGCGUUGUUCGGAUUUACUGGGCGUAAAGGGCGCGUAGGCGGCGCAACAAGUCACUUGUGAAAUCUCCGGGCUUAACCCGGAGCGGCCAAGUGAUACUGUCGUGCUAGAGUGCGGAAGGGGCUACUGGAAUUCUCGGUGUAGCGGUGAAAUGCGUAGAUAUCAGGAGGAACACCGGUGGCGAAGGCGGUUAGCUGGGCAGUUGCUGACACUGAGGCGCGACAGCGUGGGGAGCAAACAGG
rnacentral:rRNA from 1 species